rnacentral:rRNA from 1 species
GACGAACGCUGGCGGCGUGCUUAACACAUGCAAGUCGAACGGAAAGGCCCUGCUUUUGUGGGGUGCUCGAGUGGCGAACGGGUGAGUAACACGUGAGUAACCUGCCCUUGACUUUGGGAUAACUUCAGGAAACUGGGGCUAAUACCGGAUAGGAGCUCCUGCUGCAUGGUGGGGGUUGGAAAGUUUCGGCGGUUGGGGAUGGACUCGGGGCUUAUCAGCUUGUUGGUGGGGUAGUGGCUUACCAAGGCUUUGACGGGUAGCCGGCCUGAGAGGGUGACCGGACAAAUUGGGACUGAGAUGCGGCCCAGACUCGUACGGGAGGCAGCAGUGGGGAAAAUUGCACAAUGGGAGGAAGCCUGAUGCAGCAACGCAGCGUGCGGGAUAACGGCAUGCGGGUUGUAAACCGCUUUCGCCUGUGACGAAGCGUGAGUGACGGUAAUGGAUAAAGAAGCACCGGCUAACUACGUG